rnacentral:rRNA from 1 species
UACGUAGGGGGCUAGCGUUGUUCGGAAUUACUGGGCGUAAAGCGCGCGCAGGCGGCUAUCUAAGUCAGGGGUGAAAGCCCGGAGCUCAACUCCGGAACUGCCAUUGAAACUGUUUAGCUUGAGGAUGAGAGAGGUGAGUGGAAUUCCCAGUGUAGAGGUGAAAUUCGUAGAUAUUGGGAAGAACACCGGUGGCGAAGGCGGCUCUCUGGACCGAUACUGACGCUGAGGCGCGAAAGCGUGGGGAGCAAACAGG